rnacentral:rRNA from 1 species
GGGCGUUAAGUUGCAGGGUAUAGACCCGAAACCCGGUGAUCUAGCCAUGGGCAGGUUGAAGGUUGGGUAACACUAACUGGAGGACCGAACCGACUAAUGUUGAAAAAUUAGCGGAUGACCUGUGGCUGGGGGUGAAAGGCCAAUCAAACCGGGAGAUAGCUGGUUCUCCCCGAAAGCUAUUUAGGUAGCGCCUCGUGAAUUCAUCUCCGGGGGUAGAGCACUGUUUCGGCUAGGGGGCCAUCCCGGCUUACCAACCCGAUGCAAACUGCGAAUACCGGAGAAUGUUAUCACGGGAGACACACGGCGGGUGCUAACGUCCGUCGUGAAGAGGGAAACAACCCAGACCGCCAGCUAAGGUCCCAAAGUCAUGGUUAAGUGGGAAACGAUGUGGGAAGGCCCAGACAGCCAGGAUGUUGGCUUAGAAGCAGCCAUCAUUUAAAGAAAGCGUAAUAGCUCACUGGUCGAGUCGGCCUGCGCGGAAGAUGUAACGGGGCUAAACCAUGCACCGAAGCUGCGGCAGCGAACGUAUCACCCAAGACAACUUUACGGAGUUGACGAUUGACGGAGCGAAGCGACGUCAAAGCGUUCAUUAAAGUCGAGUUGGCUUAGGGAUACGUUCGUUGGGUAGGGGAGCGUUCUGUAAGCCUGUGAAGGUGGCCUGUGAGGGUUGCUGGAGGUAUCAGAAGUGCGAAUGCUGACAUAAGUAACGAUAAAGCGGGUGAAAAGCCCGCUCGCCGGAAGACCAAGGGUUCCUGUCCAACGUUAAUCGGGGCAGGGUGAGUCGACCCCUAAGGCGAGGCCGAAAGGCGUAGUCGAUGGGAAAC